AGUUUUGGCCAUAACACCCUGAAUGCGCCUGAUCUAGUCUGAUCUUGGAAGCUAAGCAGGGUUGGACCUGGUUAGUACUUAGAUGGGAGAGAAGGGUAAAGGAACAAAUGGGAAAAAUGGGGGCACCUUAAAUG
rnacentral:rRNA from 1 species